CAAGAGAUCCCCGGUACAGAAAUUAUUAUUUGGCGGAUACUAAGAUAUCCCCUGCUCAGGAUUAAUUAACUCGUGGAAACCAAGUGAUCCCCAGCACAUGACUGAUUAACUGGAGGAUACUAAGAGAUCCUCCGGAUACUUGGAGAUCCCUUGUGUAUAUGAUAAGGAUACUACGAUAUCCUCGGGAUACUUGGAGAUCCCUCGUGUAUAUGAUGAGGAUAGAAGGAAAUCCUCGGGAUAAGAGGAGAUCCUCGACGAUAUAUAGUCGUAGUGGUUGUUCUUGUAUUCGUAGAUUAUUAUUGUACUUGUAGCCUAUUUACGUUGCUCAUUAUUCUGUUG
rnacentral:lncRNA from 1 species